rnacentral:rRNA from 1 species
UACGGAGGGGACUAGCGUUGUUCGGAAUUACUGGGCGUAAAGCGCACGUAGGCGGAUUGGAAAGUUGGGGGUGAAAUCCCGGGGCUCAACCCCGGAACUGCCUUCAAAACUCCCAGUCUGGAGGUCGAGAGAGGUGAGUGGAAUUCCGAGUGUAGAGGUGAAAUUCGUAGAUAUUGGGAAGAACACCAGUGGCGAAGGCGGCUCACUGGCCCGUAACUGACGCUGAGGUGCGAAAGCGUGGGGAGCAAACAGG